AUUGAACGCUGGCGGCAGGCCUAACACAUGCAAGUCGAGCGGACGGAGGGAGCGUUCUCCUGGCUUCCGCUGCGGACGGGUGGGUAAUGCCCAGGAAGCUGCCUUGCAGAUGGGACUGAGGUCCGGAAACGGGAGCGGAUACCGCAUAGGACCUGAUGUUGAAAGGGGGGGAUCUUCGGAGAUCACGCUAUCAGCUGAGCCUAGGUCGGAUUAGCUAGUUGGUGGGGUAAAGGCCUACCAAGGCGACGAUCCGUAACUGACCUGAGAGGAUGAUCAGCCACACUGGAACUGAGACACGGUCCAGACUCCUACGGGAGGCAGCAGUGGGGAAUAUUCGACAAUGGGCGAAAGCCUGAUCCAGCCAUGCCGCGUGUGUGAUGAAGGUCUUCGGAUUGUAAAGCUCUUUUAUUUGGGAGGAAGGACAGUGUGUUAAUCCCUGGCUGUCUUGACGUUACCAACAGAGUAAGCACCGGCUAACUUCGUG
rnacentral:rRNA from 1 species